GCCAGGCGUGGUGGCUCACGUCUGUAAUCCCAGCACUUUGGGAGGCCGAGGUGGGCGGAUCACUUGAGGCCAGGGCUUCAAGACCAGCCUGGCCUACAUGGUGAAAGCCCAUCUCUA
ensembl:misc_RNA Metazoa_SRP Metazoan signal recognition particle RNA